GACGUAGGACGCAAGCGUUAUCCGGAUUUACUGGGCGUAAAGCGUCUGUAGGCGGGGAGAUAAGUUGGGCGUGAAAGCUCCGGGCUCAACCCGGAGAGUGCGUUCAAUACUGUUUACCUAGAGGAGGUCAGAGGGGAGCGGAAUUUCCGGUGUAGCGGUAAAAUGCGCAGAUAUCGGAAGGAACACCAGUGGCGAAGGCGGCUCCCUGGGGCCUUACUGACGCUGAGAGACGAAAGCUAGGGGAGCAAACAGGAUUAGAUACCCGCGUA
rnacentral:rRNA from 1 species